GGUUCCAUGGUGUAAUGGUUAGCACUCUGGACUCUGAAUCCAGCGAUCUGAGAUCUGAGUUCAAAUCUCGGUGGAACCU